rnacentral:rRNA from 1 species
AUUGAACGCUGGCGGCAGGCCUAACACAUGCAAGUCGAGCGGAGCGGCGGACGGGAGAGUAAUGCCUGGGAAUCUGCCUGGGAGUGGGGGAUCACGUCCGGAAACGGGCGCUAAUACCGCAUACUAUCAGAUAAGCCUAGGUCGGAUUAGCCAGUGGGUGGGGUAAAGGCUAACCUAGGCGACGAUCCCUAGCUGGUCUGAGAGGAUGAUCAGCCACACUGGGACUGAGACACGGCCCAGACUCCUACGGGAGGCAGCAGUGGGGAAUAUUGCACAAUGGGCGCAAGCCUGAUGCAGCCAUGCCGCGUGUAUGAAGAAGGCCUUCGGGUUGUAAAGUACUUUCAGUCGGGAGGCGUUACCGACAGAAGAAGCACCGGCUAACUCCGUGCCAGCAGCCGCGGUAAUAC